rnacentral:rRNA from 1 species
GAUGAACGCUGGCGGCGUGCCUAAUACAUGCAAGUCGAGCGAAUGGAUUAAGAGCUUGCUCUUAUGAAGUUAGCGGCGGACGGGUGAGUAACACGUGGGUAACCUGCCCAUAAGACUGGGAUAACUCCGGGAAACCGGGGCUAAUACCGGAUAACAUUUUGAACCGCAUGGUUCGAAAGUGAAAGGAGGCUUCGGCUGUCACUUAUGGAUGGACUCGGGUCGCAUUGGCUAGUUGGUGAGGUAACGGCUCACCAAGGCAACGAUGCGUAGCCGACCUGAGAGGGUGAUCGGCCACACUGGGACUGAGACACGGCCCAGACUCCUACGGGAGGCAGCAGUAGGGAAUCUUCCGCAAUGGACGAAAGUCUGACGGAGCAACGCCGCGUGAGUGAUGAAGGCUUUCGGGUCGUAAAACUCUGUUGUUAGGGAAGAACAAGUGCUAGUUGAAUAAGCUGGCACCUUGACGGUACCUAACCAGAAAGCCACGGCUAACUACGUGCCAGCAGCCGCCGUAA